UGAGUACGAGCUGCUACGGCAGCGAAGUGGGUGAUGUCAUGCUUCCAAGAAAAGCCCUAUACCCGUUAAGGCAUGAUGGCCUGUACCCGAAACCGACACAGGUGGGGUGGUAGAGAAUACCGAGGGGCGCGAGGUAACUCUCUCUAAGGAACUCGGCAAAAUGGCCCCGUAACUUCGGGAGAAGGGGUGCCACCGCAAGGUGGUCGCAGUGGAGAGGCCCAGGCGACUGUUUACCAAAAACACAGGUCUCCGCUAAGUCGCAAGACGAUGUAUGGGGGCUGACGCCUGCCCAGUGCCGGAAGGUUAAGGAAGCUGGUCAGCGUAAGCGAAGCUAGCGACUGAAGCCCCGGUGAACGGCGGCCGUAACGAUAACGGUCCUAAGGUAGCGAAAUUCCUUGUCGGGUAAGUUCCGACCCGCACGAAAGGCGUAACGAUCUGGGCGCUGUCUCGGAGAGAGGCUCGGCGAAUAGAAUUGUCUGUGAAGAUGCGGACUACGUGCACCCGGACAGAAAGACCCUAUGAAGCUUUACUGUAGCUUGGUAUUGUGCUCGGGCUCGGAAUGCGCAGGAUAGGUGGGAGGCUAUGAACCAUUGCUUGUGGGUGAUGGUGAGCCACUGGUGAGAUACCACUCUUUCCGAGCUAGAGUUCUAACAGCCACACGUUAUCCGGGGGCUGGACAGUAUCAGGUGGGCAGUUUGACUGGGGCGGUCGCCUCCUAAAAGGUAACGGAGGCGCGCAAAGGUUUGCUCAGGCUGGUUGGAAAUCAGCCGACGAGUGUAAAAGCAGAAGCAAGCUUGACUGUGAGACCUACAAGUCGAACAGGGAGGAAACUCGGCUUUAGUGAUCCGACGGUUCUGCGAGGAAGGGCCGUCGCUCAACGGAUAAAAGUUACUCUAGGGUAACAGGCUGAUCUCCCCCAAGAGUUCACAUCGACGGGGAGGUUUGGCACCUCGAUGUCGGCUCAUCGCAACCUGGGGCUGAAGUCGGUCCCAAGGGUUGGGCUGUUCGCCCAUUAAAGCGGUACGCGAGCUGGGUUCAGAACGUCGUGAGACAGUUCGGUCCAUAUCCGGUGCAUGCGCAGGAAUAUUGAGAGGAUUUCUCCCUAGUACGAGAGGACCGGGAGGAACGCACCUCUGGUGUACCAGUUAUCGUGCCAACGGUAAACGCUGGGUAGCCAUGUGCGGAGAGGAUAACCGCUGAAAGCAUCUAAGUGGGAAGCCCACCUCAAGAUGAGUAUUCCCAUGGGGUAACCCAGUAAGGUCACGGGAAGAACACCCGUUGAUAGGCUCUACGUGGAAGCGCAGUAAUGUGUGAAGCGGAGGAGUACUAAUAGACCGAGGGCUUGC
rnacentral:rRNA from 1 species